rnacentral:misc_RNA from 1 species
GCAAACUUGGUCAUUUAGAGGAAGUAAAAGUCGUAACAAGGUCUCCGUAGGUGAACCUGCGGAGGGAUCAUUACCGAGAGAGGGUGCCUCGCGCGCCCGACCUCCCAACCCUUUGUCGACCACACCGCGUUGCCUCGGGGCCGCCCUCGCGGGCGCCCCAGAGGACGUCAACCAAACUCUUGCGUCUUUGCGUCGGAGUCAUUAUGUGAAUCAAUCAAAACUUUCAACAACGGAUCUCUUGGUUCUGGCAUCGAUGAAGAACGCAGC